UAACACGGCCAUUUGGCAAUGCAAAGCUCUAGGCUUGUAUUACUAAAAGUCCAUAUACAGUAUAAAGCUGUUUUUUGUGGAUCGGGCCCAAAUGGCUCUGGGUGUAAUCCUGCCGUUAUUUAGACGCGUGAGAGAUUUCGGAUAAAAACAGUCGACCGUCUGGCUCUUCUUAGAAUUGAGACCCCACAGACGUGGCCUAGUGUUUUCUUGUGUGCUGAAGAGGAUCUUGAACCAAGCAAAUGGCCUUAUGGUCCAGUCUCAGUAGAGCUGCUCUAAACUUCCCCAUUUGUUUUUCUUUGUUUGUUACUUUGUUUACUGGUAAUGCAGCAGGUUUUAAGGACUAAUGAUAUGAUGGAUUGGGUUAUCAGUGUCCCACAGAAGCAUGAGCGGCCUGUCAGAUGGCUUUUGAUGUUCGACAGCUCCAAUCUCCUUCGCCUCAUGCUUUGAUGAUCCACUCUACCUCCAGAUGAAUCAACACGGCAAGUGUUCCCAGGAUGGACUCACUGUGUUCAGGCUGGACUCAGUGUCCCCAGAAAGGACUCAGCGUUCCCGGGCUGGACUCAGUGUCCCCAGGACCUCCGGCAGCCCUGAACGAUUUUAGUUGAAUAAAAAUUAACCGAAAUGUAGCCCAAAAUACUGAUAUCUUGAAAAAGUGUCCACUAAUAUGAAUUAAUAAAUUAAUUAAUGUAAUUAUUUUUUUAUUUAUAUGCUGAGUGAAAUCAUUUCAUUUGAACAUUAGCUUCACCCUAAAUUGUUCAUUUGGAGAAAGCUAUACAAAACAAAAUGAUUUGCUUUACUUGAUUCAUUAACUCCUCUAACUUUUGUGCAAUUAAAAAAAAGUUAUUGUUUGAUGUAUAAAAUGUAGUAUAUAUGUUUUCCGAUUCAGAUGCAAGGUUCAGUUGAGCAUGCAGCUGCUUUUUUAAUGAUUGUCUGUGAUUAAAAUCCUCCUGUACAGGGACGUGGCCUUAAA